UCCGUAGGUGAACCUGCGGAAGGAUCAUUAUCGUGGGGCUUCGGCCCCGUCGAGAUAGAACCCUUGCCUUUUGAGUACCGUCCGUUUCCUCGGCAGGUCCGCCUGCCAGGACACAAAACAAACCCUUUUUUACCUGUAACAGUCUGAAAAACAAACAAAAAUUAAAACUUUCAACAACGGAUCUCUUGGUUCUGGCAUCGAUGAAGAACGCAGCGAAAUGCGAUAAGUAGUGUGAAUUGCAGAAUUCAGUGAAUCAUCGAAUCUUUGAACGCACAUUGCGCCCUUUGGUAUUCCUUAGGGCAUGCCUGUUCGAGCGUCAUUUAACACCUUCAAGCUCCGCUUGGUGUUGGGUGACUGUCCGCUGCCCUCGGUGCGGACUCGCCUCAAAAUCAUUGGCGGCCCUCACGUCGGCUUCGAGCGCAAGCAGAAACGCGAACUCGUGGCCGGCGGAGCGGCUCCAGAAGCCUAUCUCUCACCAGUUUUGACCUGCGGAUCCAGGUAGGGAUACCCUGCUGAACUUAA
rnacentral:rRNA from 1 species